rnacentral:lncRNA from 1 species
AUGUAAUGACAGUAACCUAGCAGAGAUGUUGCUGCUUGACUCUCAGGGAAGAUACGAAUUUGCUCAUCAAGUACUCUGCAAGGAGAGGUUACAUGAAGCUCAAAACUAAGGGCUGUAUUGAGGUGCUGGAACAAUUCUGAGAUGAAAAUAACUUCAAAAAUUCCAGUCCAUAGAGGGUAUACUUGAUUGCUUGGAUGUAUUUGGAGUCCCGAAUGAGUCCAUAGAUUGUGGACGUAACCUGUCCCCACGUCAUUCCUCCAGCACUUAAGGUUUCAAUUGUAAUUGUUGUACUCGGUAUGCACACAACGUUUAAUGAAAGAUGUUGAAGGGCUGCAGACUAGGAGAUCUCGAAGACAAUCCUUUUAAAACAUAACAAUCAACCUACGCCAGAGCACUCAGUCCUCUAUUCUCGAACAGAGCACCAAACUGCAAAUAAUCAACGAGAAAAUUUAGAGAAUCGUUACCCUCCAGGGCUUUCUC